rnacentral:piRNA from 1 species
UUUAAUCCCAGAUCUCAGGAAGCAGAACCAA